rnacentral:rRNA from 1 species
UACACUCCUACGGGAGGCAGCAGUGGGGAAUUUUGGACAAUGGGCGAAAGCCUGAUCCAGCAAUGCCGCGUGUGUGAAGAAGGCCUUCGGGUUGUAAAGCACUUUUGUCCGGAAAGAAAUCCUUGGCUCUAAUACAGUCGGGGGAUGACGGUACCGGAAGAAUAAGCACCGGCUAACUACGUGCCAGCAGCCGCGGUAAUACGUAGGGUGCGAGCGUUAAUCGGAAUUACUGGGCGUAAAGCGUGCGCAGGCGGUUUGCUAAGACCGAUGUGAAAUCCCCGGGCUCAACCUGGGAACUGCAGUGGUGACUGGCAGGCUAGAGUAUGGCAGAGGGGGGUAGAAUUCCACGUGUAGCAGUGAAAUGCGUAGAGAUGUGGAGGAAUACCGAUGGCGAAGGCAGCCCCCUGGGCCAAUACUGACGCUCAUGCACGAAAGCGUGGGGAGCAAACAGGAUUAGAAACCCCUGUAGUCCCAUGA